rnacentral:rRNA from 1 species
GACCUUGAAAUACCACCCUUUAAUGUUUGAUGUUCUAACGUGGACCCGUGAUCCGGGUUGCGGACAGUGUCUGGUGGGUAGUUUGACUGGGGCGGUCUCCUCCUAAAGAGUAACGGAGGAGCACGAAGGUUGGCUAAUCCUGGUCGGACAUCAGGAGGUUAGUGCAAUGGCAUAAGCCAGCUUGACUGCGAGCGUGACGGCGCGAGCAGGUGCGAAAGCAGGUCAUAGUGAUCCGGUGGUUCUGAAUGGAAGGGCCAUCGCUCAACGGAUAAAAGGUACUCCGGGGAUAACAGGCUGAUACCGCCCAAGAGUUCAUAUCGACGGCGGUGUUUGGCACCUCGAUGUCGGCUCAUCACAUCCUGGGGCUGAAGUAGGUCCCAAGGGUAUGGCUGUUCGCCAUUUAAAGUGGUACGCGAGCUGGGUUUAGAACGUCGUGAGACAGUUCGGUCCCUAUCUGCCGUGGGCGCUGGAGAACUGAGGGGGGCUGCUCCUAGUACGAGAGGACCGGAGUGGACGCAUCACUGGUGUUCGGGUUGUCAUGCCAAUGGCACUGCCCGGUAGCUAAAUGCGGAAGAGAUAAGUGCUGAAAGCAUCUAAGCACGAAACUUGCCCCGAG